CCUGUGUUGAGUAGGCUUUAUAGUCAGUAGUGGGAGAGGUGGUCCUGUGUUGAGUAGGCUUUAUAGUCAGUAGUGGGAGAGGUGGUCCUGUGUUGAGUAGGCUUUAUAGUCAGUAGGGGGAGAGGUGAUCCUGUGUUGAGUAGGCUUUAUAGUCAGUAGGGGGAGAGGUGGUCCUGUGUUGAGUAGGCUUUAUAGUCAGUAGGGGGAGAGGUGGUCCUGUGUUGAGUAGGCUUUAUAGUCAGUAGUGGGAGAGGUGGUCCUGUGUUGAGUAGGCUUUAUAGUCAGUAGUGGGAGAGGUGAUCCUGUGUUGAGUAGGCUUUAUAGUCAGUAGGGGGAGAG
ensembl:lncRNA